UACGAAGGGGGCUAGCGUUGCUCGGAAUCACUGGGCGUAAAGCGCACGUAGGCGGUUUGUUAAGUCAGGGGUGAAAUCCUGGAGCUCAACUCCAGAACUGCCUUUGAUACUGGCGACCUUGAGUCCGGGAGAGGUGAGUGGAACUGCGAGUGUAGAGGUGAAAUUCGUAGAUAUUCGCAAGAACACCAGUGGCGAAGGCGGCUCACUGGCCCGGUACUGACGCUGAGGUGCGAAAGCGUGGGGAGCAAACAGG
rnacentral:rRNA from 1 species